rnacentral:sRNA from 1 species
AAGAGACAGAGCUACUCUGGCCCCAUGCAGGAGGUUCAAAUCUGGGAGUAAAGGCUGACGGGCUGGCCGGGACACCAAGAAAUGAAGCUCUUUAUCUAUGUCCUCAUUUCAUCUCCUCAGUAGUCUGCUCAGAGAGCUGGGGUAAAAAACUUAUCUUUAUUUUACAGAUGAGAAGCAUGAGGCUGAGAGAGGAGGAGUCACCGGGACCCAGCCACACAGCGUCCUGCCUCUGCGGCUCUGCCCCCUGCAUCCUGUGCAGCUGCUGCCCCGCCAGCCGCAACUCCACCGUGAGCCGCCUCAUCUUCACAUUCUUCCUCUUCUUGGGGGUGCUGGUGUCCAUCAUUAUGCUAAGCCCGGGCGUGGAGAGUCAGCUCUACAAGCUGCCCUGGGUGUGUGAGGAGGGGGCCGGGAUCCCCACCGUCCUGCAGGGCCACAUCGACUGUGGCUCCCUGCUUGGCUACCGCGCUGUCUACCGCAUGUGCUUCGCCACAGCGGCCUUCUUCUUCUUUUUCACCCUGCUCAUGCUCUGUGUGAGCAGCAGCCGGGACCCCCGGGCUGCCAUCCAGAACGGGUUUUGGUUCUUUAAGUUCCUGAUCCUGGUGGGCCUCACCGUGGGUGCCUUCUACAUCCCUGACGGCUCCUUCACCAACAUCUGGUUCUACUUUGGCGUCGUGGGCUCCUUCCUCUUUAUCCUCAUCCAGCUGGUGCUGCUCAUCGACUUUGCGCACUCCUGG